CUUCCUUCCAAGGCUGGUGGUCUCAUGGGAUCUUUGGCCUCAUCAGAGAUAAUUAGGAGAAAAAUUUCCCACCACUAGUUCCCAGGUCUCAGGAAAACAGUGAGCUUCAUCUGGGAACCUGCACUGGUUCCACAUAGGAGGAGGAGGAGGCAUGGAAAGCAGUAGCAGUUAGCUGACAAAGGCAGGAGCCACAGUAUGCAGAAAGAUGCCUCGGGGAGAUGCUGGCCCAAUCCCAGAACCUGCCAGUGAGCUACCCCGAUGUGGGUUCUGGAAACUGAAUUUUUCCACAAGCACUCUUAACUGCCUAGCAAGGAAAACCCCCAUACCCAGGGUGCAGUUAAAGAGUCAUUCGCCAUCAAAAUAAUCAAAGACUCUUUGGCAAAGUAGCUGGUGUGGGUACAGAUCAGGGAACAUCUGUGGAGGGAAGGUAAGUGUUCAGAGAUGGGUGUAGUUGCUAAGGUUGUAGCUCAGUCAGGAACCAAGCCCAGAUAUUCAAGGCCAAAUCCAAGAACUCUAUUUCUUUGCACGUGUUUUCCACCAUGGGCUCUGCUCUCAAUGGAAUUUGCAUUUUGGUAUCAUUUUUCCGGAAAGAGCUGAUGGCGGAAAACAGCAAGAGGAUGAAGAGGAGAUAAAGGAUGAAGGAUGGAGAGGGAGGAGGAGGAGGAAGCGAGCUUUCGAAUGUUUGGAAUGGAUGUUGACUGACUAGCAGAGCUUUGGGCUGCAUGAAUUUCUCGUAGUUGCAUCCCCAAGAUCGGCCAAAGGAGUUCUGUGGCAUGGCAAGGUGUGGCGAAGGCAAGCACAGGCUCCCACCCUUCCCCCACCCUCAGGAGGCUCCUCCCUAGCCACACAGCAGUUGUCCAGAGCCUACACCUCUGCUGCCAUCGCUGUGCCGAGCAUCAGUUUGGUUCUCAUCAUACCAUUAGUUCCAGGCGCAUCUGCUCCAGGAUUUCUCCCUGCCCCUGUGGCGCAUCCAUCUCCAUCUUGUUCACGUUUUAUUACCCUCGCCUAAAUGUUAGCGAGCCUUAUCAAGUCCUGCAAGCAUCGGGGCACUGUGCCAGGAGGCCGGCAGGCCUUCGACCCCGCUCCCUGUGGUUUGAGGCUCCACUUAGAGCUUUAAUUUCCAGUCCCUGUAAUUCAGGACCACAAAGGGCCAUGCUGAAAUAACUCCCUUACUUCCCAAAGGCAGCUGGCCAGUAGCCACUCAGUUACUGAGUUGAGUGCAGGACCCCUGCCUCUCUUGGGAGCCAAACAAAGCCUCUGACUUUCUCUCUGCCUCUUUUGCACACUCCAGAGCCUGUGACAGGGAAUGCUGUUUCCAUUGGCCAGGGGCCCUGGCAGGGCUCCCCAAGGCAAUUUUCCAGCCCUAUAUUCGGUGGAGAACCUGAAAGGCUGCUGUUGCCAAUUGAGCCCUGCCGGACUGGGGGAGGGUGGCUCCAAAUCUUCCAGCCAUUGGCUCUCAAACCUCUGGAGUGCAAGGAUCCUUUGAAAGGGAGAAGAAAGAAGACACAAUUAAGAACAGAAUUCAAAACAACAGAAAUCUCAUUCGGUGCAAAUCGCCUCUACUUGCAGAUAAGUACUCUGAAAGAGCUGUCUGUAAAGCAAGUCCCAUUCUGAGCAGGCCUGAAGCCAGGCACAGUUUGGCUAUAGAUCUAGGAAAGUUUAGAAUUUCCCUGCAAUAAGCCAGCAUGCGCUCCCUGCUCAGUACAUCUAACAAACACACCUCCUCCUGGUGCUGACCAUAUCUCACCUAAAAGGUGGUGUCUGGCACCUUUUUCAACCCUGACAAUGGUCUCCUGAGCCUGGCAGGGCUCCUCCAGGUUCUCAGGUGAAUAGGGCUUCAGUCCCAACUCUAAAGUUGACCCACAGGCAUUGAUUGCUGGGGGCAGGUUAGAAAGGGACCAACUGCAGCUCCCACCCUGAGAUUUCUGAGUUAUAACUCCCAGGAAUCGUUUCCAUUUUGCAAAGACAUUUAUGGAAGGGGGUCAGGUAUGCUAAAAAACACAUGGGAAUCUCUGUAACAAAUUACAAUCAGCCCGAGUGCGGUGAUUCUGCAUCUGUGGCUUUAACUAUGGACAGCUGUCUGAAAAUAUCCAGAAAAAUAUAAUGGAUCAAGCAUAUGCAAGCUUUUUAUUUCUUGGCAUCAUUCCCUGAACAAUACAGUAGAACAACUAUCUGCACAGAGUUUACAUUAGGUCUUUUAAGUAAUGGAGCCAUGAUUAAAGCAUACAGGAUUGUGUGCACAGGCUGUACGCAAAUAUUGUACCAUGUUAGAGUCGGUACUAGAGCAUGGGUAGAGUUUUGGUAGCAGCUCUAAGCUCUGACCUGCUGAUAGUUGCUGUUUCCCACACUUCUAUUUUCUUUACCUUCGAGUUUCUUGUCAUGGAAAAUUUUUCUUUUUUUUAAAAAAAGUAUCUGAUCAAAUAAAUAUAUUACUUUCACCAUAUUUACUGUGGAUUU
rnacentral:lncRNA from 1 species